rnacentral:rRNA from 1 species
UACGAAGGGGGCUAGCGUUGCUCGGAAUUACUGGGCGUAAAGCGCACGUAGGCGGCUUUCUAAGUCGGGGGUGAAAUCCUGGGGCUCAACCUCAGAAUUGCCUCCGAUACUGGCAGUCUCGAGUGCGGGAGAGGUGAGUGGAAUUCCCAGUGUAGAGGUGAAAUUCGUAGAUAUUGGGAAGAACACCAGUGGCGAAGGCGGCUCACUGGCCCGUAACUGACGCUGAGGUGCGAAAGCGUGGGGAGCAAACAGG